rnacentral:tRNA from 1 species
GGGGAUGUGGUGUAGCCUGGCUAGCAUGCGGGCUUAGGGAGCCUGUGACCCCGGUUCAAAUCCGGGCAUCCCCA